UGGCUCAGAUGGUAAAGCGUCUGCCUGCAAUGCGGGAGACCCUGGUUCGAUUCCUGG
rnacentral:tRNA from 1 species